rnacentral:rRNA from 1 species
UGUGAAAUCCCCGAGCUUAACCUGGGAACUGCGUUUGGAACUGGGAGACUAGAGUGUGUCAGAGGGAGGUGGAAUUCCGCGUGUAGCAGUGAAAUGCGUAGAGAUGCGGAGGAACACCGAUGGCGAAGGCAGCCUCCUGGGAUGACACUGACGCUCAUGCACGAAAGCGUGGGGAGCAAACAGGAUUAGAUACCCUGGUAGUCCACGCCCUAAACGAUGUCAACUGGCUGUUGGGAGAGGAAUCUUUCAGUAGCGAAGCUAACGCGUGAAGUUGACCGCCUGGGGAGUACGGCCGCAAGGUUG